CAGGGAGACAACAAAAUGUUUAAUAUUAUUAUUUUGUCACCUUAGGUCGAUCGGUAUCUCACAUUUUUAAUUUAUUAAGAAUUUCAUUUCCUAAGUUUUUCUAGGUCACACCCAUUAUUUUCCUGGGCCAUUAGCUCAGGUGGUUAGAGCGCACCCCUGAUAAGGGUGAGGUCCCUGGUUCAAGUCCAGGAUGGCCCAUAUCUCUAUGUUGGGGGUAUAGCUCAGUUGGUAGAGCGCCUGCUUUGCAGGCAGGAUGUCAGCGGUUCGAGUCCGCUUACCUCCACUGAUUACCACCUCUCUCAUAACCGGUAGAAAGGAAAUGUUUUGAGUUGUGAUCAAAUUCUGAAAGAAUCUAGCUUCCUAAUGAAAUCAUUAAGAUGCUGGACUCAUUGAAUUAAUUUCAUUGUUUUCAGAGAACCUUGACAACUGCAUAGAUUAUUUUUAAAGACAAUAAGCAUCUUUAAUGAUGCAGAUUUAUUAUUUGUGCGAAUGCAUUAAUAACAAUUCUAUUAAGCUGAUGCUUCAAUUUUUGAAGUUAUU
rnacentral:tRNA from 1 species